AAAGUCUGACCUGCCCUAUGAUAUUUUAUUAAAUGGCCGCGAUAGUUUGAUCGUGCAAAGGUAGCAUAAUCAUUAGUUUUUUAAUUGGGAACUGGUAUGAAAGGUCGAACGAGAAAAAGACUGUCUCAAUUUAAUUUAGAUUAGAAUUUUAUUUUUAAGUAAAAAAGCUUAAAUAAUUUUAAAAGACGAGAAGACCCUAUAGAGUUUUAUAUUUAUUAAAUUUAAAAGAGAAUUUAAGAAUUAAUUAUUUUUUUUUAUUUUUAAAUAUUUGAUUGGGGCGAUUAAAAAAUUAAAUAAACUUUUUUUAUAAUUUAUACAUUGAUAUAUGAUUAAAUGAUCCA
rnacentral:rRNA from 1 species